UAGGGAAUCUUCGGCAAUGGACGAAAGUCUGACCGAGCAACGCCGCGUGAGUGAAGAAGGUUUUCGGAUCGUAAAACUCUGUUGUUAGAGAAGAACAAGGACGUUAGUAACUGAACGUCCCCUGACGGUAUCUAACCAGAAAGCCACGGCUAACUACGUGUCAGCAGCCGCGGUAAUACGUAGGUGGCAAGCGUUGUCCGGAUUUAUUGGGCGUAAAGCGAGCGCAGGCGGUUUCUUAAGUCUGAUGUGAAAGCCCCCGGCUCAACCGGGGAGGGUAAUUGGAAACUGGGAGACUUGAGUGCAGAAGAGGAGAGUGGAAUUCCAUGUGUAGCGGUGAAAUGCGUAGAUAUAUGGAGGAACACCAGUGGCGAAGGCGGCUCUCUGGUCUGUAACUGACGCUGAGGCUCGAAAGCGUGGGGAGCAAACAGG
rnacentral:rRNA from 1 species